UACGUAGGGUGCAAGCGUUGUCCGGAAUUAUUGGGCGUAAAGAGCUCGUAGGCGGCCUGUCGCGUCGGCUGUGAAAACUCAGGGCUCAACCCUGAGCCUGCAGUCGAUACGGGCAGGCUAGAGUCCGGCAGGGGAGACUGGAAUUCCUGGUGUAGCGGUGAAAUGCGCAGAUAUCAGGAGGAACACCGGUGGUGAAGGCGGGUCUCUGGGCCGGAACUGACGCUGAGGAGCGAAAGCGUGGGGAGCGAACAGG
rnacentral:rRNA from 1 species